UUGGGUUGUCGCUCACCGGAGGUGCGACUAUAUAAAAAACACUUUCCAAAUAAGGUACCAAGAGAUUUUCAAUUAAAGAAACUUAAUUUCCUUUACUUUAGAAAGCAACAUAACCAGAUUUCAAAAUCAGUCCACGUCUUCAACAGCGCCCAGUGCUACUCAACUUAGAAGCACGGAUACAAACAGCUUGUCUACGCUGGUCGUCGUCGUUAUAUCUGUUAGUACUGGCGUGACAGUUGGAUUCAUUGGACUAGCUGUUCCUUGCUACAUUUGGAGAAGACGGAUUCAGAGAAGCAAAAACAACAACAACAACGAAUUACAAAAGCAAAAAGACCCGUAUGAUGGUUGGGAGGUAAAGAGCGAUGACGUCACUAUAUCUGAAGAGCUUGGUCAGGGUGCCUUUGGAAAAGUGUACAGAGGAACCAUGAAAAUGCCUUCAUCAAAGAAGAAAAAUGUAAAAUCUACAACAGCUGUAGCGGUGAAGGUGCUACAAGACGAUCCUAGUCCUGAGCAGAAAAGCGAUUUCUUAGAUGAGAUUAAACUGAUGAAAGCAGUUGGUUCACACAAGAACAUCGUUAGUUUGAUUGGCUGUUGUACCAAGUCCACGCCAAAUUUCCUCAUCGUGGAGUUUGCAGCAAAAGGAGACUUGCUUUCUUAUCUGAGAGAACGAAGAAAAAAG